CCCUACGGGACGCAGCAGUCGGGAAUAUUGCGCAAUGGAGGAAACUCUGAUGCAGUGACGCCGCGUAUAGGAAGAAGGUUUUCGGAUUGUAAACUAUUGUCGUUAGGGAAGAUAAAAGACAGUACCUAAGGAGGAAGCUCCGGCUAACUACGUGCCAGCAGCCGCGGUAAUACGUAGGGAGCAAGCGUUAUCCGGAUUUAUUGGGUUUAAAGGGUGCGCAGGCGGCACGGCAAGCCGGCGGUCAAAUCGCGGGGCUCAACCCCGCCCAGCCGUCGGAACUGCCGGGCUAGAGUGGGCGAGAAGUG
rnacentral:rRNA from 1 species